AAAAAGGUCUUUUUCAAGGCCACAAAUUUUAAAAAGGCAGAACAGU
rfam:Stegodyphus mimosarum contig44665, whole genome shotgun sequence.